rnacentral:tRNA from 1 species
GGCAGUGUAGUAUAAUGGGUAAUAAACUGGUCUUGUAGCCCGAAGGCCUCAGGUUCGAUUCCUGGGCAGGACGCUGCCG